GCGCGCGUGACCAAAAACGGCUCUCAGCGGGUCCCAGCUGACGGAAGGUGGGGGAGGAGUGCGAGGGUCUCUGAGACAGGUUGGGAGCCAGCCCCACCUCCAUUUCCAAAGCGGGGGUCCAGGCACAGGAACAGCCAAACGCCCGAACCAGCGGGGUUACCUUUGCCACUUCAUCCAAUCCGAGCAUCGGCUGGAAACUGGGAAGUUUGUCAGACAAAGCUCUUCAGGUUACUGGCAAUUUAUGUGCUGGGAGGUGGAUUUGUGGGCAGAGCUCCGGCUGACCUGGUGUUGUCCUGCUAUGGCUACAGACUUCUGACUAUGCUUAUCAGAAAAACUUUCAUUUGGUUCAAGGAUUUUUGCUGACAAGUUUAUUUAAUCCCUGAACCUGGAUCCAAGGCAUCUCCCUGUAGAAAACAUCAGACCGGGGCAGAGAUUGACAAAGCAACCCAAAGCAGCAGCUGCCAACGGCCGCUGUGCCCACCUCAUCAGCAGCUAAAGAGUAUAAUUUUAAAAAAAGUCACAGAAGAAUGUGGAGACACUUAGCAAAACGGACUCUCAUAAGGAACUUCCAUUUUCUCAACAACUGCUCUUCCAAGAUGCUGCCUCAUUUCAGAGCCAUGUUUUACUCAUGAGCUGGUCCUGUCCAGAAAACAGCCAAUGCUCAUUCCCGACACUUUCUUGUCACUGCUCUUUUCUGUUCCCUAUUUUGUCAGUAAGGAAGUAAACAACCGCUAAAACAACCCUCUAACAACAGAAGACCCUCAUGAGAACACCAGGCAGCAGAAGCUUCUUUAGCAGUAAAAGAUAUCUGGAUAUUCAUAUUUUGUUCCAUGAUCUUCAACAUUAAAUAAAUAAACUUAAUAUUCAAGUCUCCU
rnacentral:lncRNA from 1 species